GACGAACGCUGGCGGCGUGCUUAACACAUGCAAGUCGAACGGAAAGGCCCUGCUUUUGUGGGGUGCUCGAGUGGCGAACGGGUGAGUAACACGUGAGUAACCUGCCCUUGACUUUGGGAUAACUUCAUGAAACUGGGGCUAAUACCGGAUAGGAGCUCCUGCUGCAUGGUGGGGGUUGGAAAGUUUCGGCGGUUGGGGAUGGACUCGCGGCUUAUCAGCUUGUUGGUUGGGUAGUGGCUUACCAAGGCUUUGACGGGUAGCCGGCCUGAGAGGGUGACCGGCCACAUUGGGACUGAGAUACGGCCCAGACUCCUACGGGAGGCAGCAGUGGGGAAUAUUGCACAAUGGGCGGAAGCCUGAUGCAGCAACGCCGCGUGCGGGAUGACGGCCUUCGGGUUGUAAACCGCUUUCGCCUGUGACGAAGCGUGAGUGACGGUAAUGGGUAAAGAAGCACCGGCUAACUACGUG
rnacentral:rRNA from 1 species